rnacentral:lncRNA from 1 species
UGAAGGUUGCAGUCUUGUAAUUGACUGCUCCAUAGGCUUACAUGCAAAACAGCUGAUCUUUGAAAAUAAAAAAAUAAAAAAUGCUACAUAGAAUUUUUUUUUCAUGUUCAUAUCAUGAAUGUACUUAUGUGAAAUUGUGAUUUAAUCCAAAAAAAAGAGGGUCUUGCCACGAAGAAUAAAAAGUUACGUAAUCCUGAAGUCAAAACAUUUUUUUUCUACUUUCUGUUUGCUAUUUUUACUAGGCCGCACCACUUCCAGUAAACAUGAUAUCCUUCCACUUUCCUGAAUUGAUAUCCUCCAAAAGAUGCAAGAUUUUUUUAAAGUCUAUAUAUAUGUUUCAAUUCAGCAUAAACCUAUAAUCAAACAGAAAAAAUUGAGUUCAGAAAAAAAAUUCAGAAAAAAUGCACUAUUUUGUUUCCCUCCAUGUUUUGACAUGCACCGGAAACUGGAGUUGUAAUACAAGACUGGUACCUAUAACAAUAAUUACAUGUCUUAAAAAAAUAAAUCAUUUACUUAGUUUCAUUAAGUAGCCAUAUUUGAACAUAAAAAGUGCUAUUAAAAGAUCUGUUUGGCUGUAUUAAUAAAAAUAACCCCACUUUUAAAGCAGUACCCCUUUCUGAAAACAGGCAAAAUUUGGAAAUCAGUCAUGUCUAUCAAAUGAUCUGUAAAUCUCAUUCUAGUCUAUCUUUAUGAUUUUUUUCUUAUUAUUUGGAUACUGUGAAACUAGAAGAGUAUUCUUAUCUAUUAUUUUUAUUUUUUUCCCUCUGUUUGAUUGAAGCACAUUCAAUAGUUUACCCCCUCCCCCUUUUUUCAAUGAAAUCUACCCAAGUGGGCCUCUUGUUUAAGUCAAAAUUGAAAAAAGUACCCAAAACUUGUUCAUAUUGAAGAAUUUGCUACAAUACAACUAUCUGAACACAAGAAAGACCAUACCUUUCUCUUUUUUUAAUAUACUGGUCUUUAUACAUGCCUACUAUAUCAUGGUUUUUAGACUGUACUUGACACACCAAUGCAUAUAAAAUUUGAAAUAAAAUUCAAGAAAAA